UGUGAAGACCUGGUUGAGCUCCUGGAGGUAAAACUCACACAAAUGCAAGAGAUCUUGCUCUAAUCCUCAGUCCCUAGACUUUUUAACUCUCAGACUUGUCCACACUGAGCCUCCAACAAUUUUUCAAUUAUAAUUGAGGUUUUCCUACCCCAACACUAGUUCCCACAGAGUUUACUGCUCUAGGGUUUCUCAGUAUUUACCUGGAAAGAACAUUCUGUCUCUCCAGUUUUGAGAGCAGUGAUUUUCCCUAUGACCUCACUUCUCUGAUGGAUCUAAGAAGAAUUAAGGGUCCUUGAUAUUUUCAGUUGGUUCAGCUUUUUACCUGCUGUUAGGAUGGAGUGAUGACUUCUGGCUCCUUAGAUGACAGAAUGGAAACAAAAGACUUGAAUAUGUUCUUUCUUCCAGCUUGGAUGGUAAACUCACCUGGUGAUGUUUUCAAGAUGGCUGCCUAAGGGGACAGUUUGAGGCCAGGAAAGAGAGAAACUAAGAGACCCAUAUAAGCACCAAACUCAUGACCCUUGACUUAUCAUGGUCUUGCCAAAUGAGUUUUCAGAUCUGAACGCUGAGCCUCAGGGCACUCAUGGAGCUUGCUGGAGGUUGCACAGCUAAUAACUGACAGAUCCAUGAUUCCACUCCAGAUCCAUCUGAUACCAAAGGUUCUGGGGUACAUGUGAAGAACAUGCAAGACUGUUGCAUAGACUUGGGACUGAAAGAAAGUGUAUGAGUCAUAGAUAUGACCAAGGGAGGAAAAGCAAAUGAGUCACUUGCCUAUUUGGACCUUCCGGCCUGGAUGCUCCCUGGGAUCAGCAUCCCCAGAGGGCUGGCCUGGCCCAUGCCACCUGCUGCAGCUGCCGGCUGAAUGGAAAAGGGGUUUCUUCAGGAGACGCUGGGACUCCCAGAAAACAAGUGAGUCAGGGAAAGUGAGAAACAUCGGAGCCUCAAGGAGUUGCCCUGUAAUUUUUCCAAAAACCAUUUUCUACCAUCAGUUGAGAGGUUUCUUGUCCACAUUUCAUCACUUUUUAUUCCUGGAUGUACUCCUGCUACAAGCUAAUCACUCCUUAAGAGCAAACACACACUUCAAAGAGUUGUCAUCCUGUGUCCUCU